ACCCGCUGAACUUAAGCAUAUCAAUAAGCGGAGGAAAAGAAACCAACAGGGAUUGCCCUAGUAACGGCGAGUGAAGCGGCAACAGCUCAAAUUUGAAAUCUGGCUUUCGGGCCCGAGUUGUAAUUUGUAGAGGAUACUUUUGAUGCGGUGCCUUCCGAGUUCCCUGGAACGGGACGCCAUAGAGGGUGAGAGCCCCGUCUGGUUGGAUGCCAAAUCUCUGUAAAGUUCCUUCGACGAGUCGAGUAGUUUGGGAAUGCUGCUCUAAAUGGGAGGUAUAUGUCUUCUAAAGCUAAAUAUUGGCCAGAGACCGAUAGCGCACAAGUAGAGUGAUCGAAAGAUGAAAAGCACUUUGAAAAGAGAGUUAAAAAGUACGUGAAAUUGUUGAAAGGGAAGCGUUUAUGACCAGACUUGGACUUGGUUAAUCAUCUGGGGUUCUCUCCAGUGCACUUUUCCAGUUCAGGCCAGCAUCAGUUUUCGUCGGGGGAUAAAGGCAGCGGGAAUGUGGCUCUCUUCGGGGAGUGUUAUAGCCCGCUGUGUAAUACCCUGGUGGGGACUGAGGUUCGCGCUUCUGCAAGGAUGCUGGCGUAAUGGUCAU
rnacentral:rRNA from 1 species